CUUUUAGACAUACUAAAAACAAAAUAAAAGUGGAAAGGACGAACAGCUGCUGGCGAGGCUGCCGGCUCACAGCGCCACCCGAUGUUCAAAUGUUUGUGUUGUUUAAUCUUUGCUGUACAGCAUGUUUUUUUAAUGUUUAGACACUGAUUUUGUUGGAAAUACCAAUAAAUAUGUUUAAUUUUAUCGACCAUUUACAUUUUUAUUCCUGUGUGGUUGUGUAGGUAUGGGCCCCAGUGCACUGCUUUGCCCGGGGGCCUACAAUGCUGUUAAGACAGCCCUGCCGCUAAGUUGUUCCAGCUUUUUGUGUCUAUCUUCGGUUUAAACCAACAUCUGUAGUUCCUUCCUACACAUGAUAAUCCUCACUCGGUUGUAGCAGAUAAUCAGCAAUAACUAAGUUGUUUACAAACUAAAAGAACAUACUCUGCUUGUAUAAUCUAAAUCCAAUGGUAUGAAUAUUGAAUAUUGUGGUGUGCCUAAGGAAAACUCUUAAACUAAACAUCACGUGUAAAAAGACACAAAGUGCCGGAGUAAUUCAGCAGGUCAGGCAACAUUUCUGGAGAAUACGGCUCGGUGAUGUUUCAUGUUGGGCCAGGCCUCGUCUUCAGACUGAUUGUACUAAAGGGAGAGAAAACUGGAAGAGAUGUGGGGCUGGCCAAAGUAGAGCAAGUGAUAGUUCUCCACCUGGAUGAGGACCCAUUUCUUCCCUUUCUGCCCACAACCCUUCCUCCAGCUUCACAAUUCAUGUCUCCUCGAUUCUUAUCUCACACAUUUUGUCUUUUCACCCCUAGUCUUUGUCCAUCCAUCUGCCAAUCAAAACCUCCCCCCUCACCUGUAUCCACCUAUCACUUGUCACACUUUGUCAUGCCCCCACAUCUCUUCCAUCUUUCCCCCUUGUAGUACAAUCAGCCUGAAGAAGGGCGUCGACCGAAACCUUGCUUGUCUAUGUUCUCCAGAGAGGCUUUUUCUAAUAUCUUACCUCGACAGAGAUGCGAUUUUUUCCGUAUCGUAUCCCCAUCCGCACUGCGGCCUAACAUCGAGAAGUUGGCGGCCUUUGCUGGAGACCGAUUUCGAGAGCUCCACUGCGGGAGUCUGCAGGAAUUUAACAUCACGGAGCUCGCGGUCUCUGGUCAGAGACCGACUUCGGGAGCUCCAAGCCGCAGGAGCUUCGACUGCCCCAACGCGGGAGCUUCGACCACUCCAACGCGGGGACUUCGACCGCUCUGACUGCAGAUGGUUAGACUGCCCCGACCGCUGAUGAAUAAAGGAAGAAGAUUGGACUUUAUUGCCUUCCAUCGCAGUGAGGAACGUGGGGAAUCCGCUGUGGUGGAUGUUUAUGCUAACUUUUAUGUAGUUGUGUCUUGUUGCUUUUUUUUAAUAUGGCUGUAUGAUAACUCGAAUUUCACUGUACCUUAACUGGUACAUGUGACAAUAAACUGACCUUGAACUGGAUCACAAUAUUUUUGCGAUCAUGGAAACGCAGGUCCAAAAUGGGAUGGGGCAUGGCUAAUCAGAAAGAGCGUUAAAAGUGGGGGAUAUCAGCCAGACUUUAUGGGUUAAAAUAUAGGCUUAAGAAAGGUGCGCUCACUUUGAUGGGGUCUUAAUUAAAGGCUUCCUCAAGCCAAUGGGAAUUAGAAAAAGAGAUAUGUAGGCAGAUCGCAGAAGGUUAUAAAAGCAAUAUUAUUGUUCCCCCGAGGUGUUUAACCCUUACCAGUAUUGACUGAAAUUUCCUUAGUGCACGAGGCUUAGGUGGGGUGCAAUUUACAACAUGCAUACAGGAAUUUGUUGAAGUAGUAAGUAGAUAGUUCCACCAGGGACGGCGCUGUUCAAAACCUUACAGUAAGAAUCAUACUCAAAAUCAAUUAUCAGUACUCCACACCCGGGCAGUUAAAAGGAAAGCCAAUCUCAUUACACAGGAACCCACCCACCCCCUGCACAAGUCUUUCCAACUUCUGCCAUCAGGCCGCCGAUGUAAAGUCCCCCUAUCCAAGAAAAACAUCCACAAAAACUCAUUCAUACCCAUUGCCAUAAACAGCUUAAAUAAAAAAUGAACAAUGGGCAAAUUAACCCUGACGCAUUGUCACUUUACACGUAUCCACAACUUUUAUCUUGUCUAUUUUUACAGUUUUUAAUCUAUAUAUUUGCUUUUAAGAUCGAUACACACUGUGUGUGCUCGCAGAAAUCUGUGUUGUAUGACUGCUUAUCAGUACAUUGUCCUGUCUGUAUGUUGAGCCACGUCAAAGAAGAUUUUCUGUUACGACAGACAAUAAAGUUUUCUGAAUCUGAAUCUGAAUACAGCACAGCAGCAGGGCCUUCAGCUCAACUUUCCUAUGCCGACUAAUAAGCCCCCAUCUACGCUACUCUAACAUGCCCACGUUUGGCCCAUAUGCCUCUAAACUUUCCCAUCCAUGAACCUGUCUUAGAGACGAGCAAAUUAUAUUGUUGGCUGUGCAGGAUUCCUUGGGGAUCAGUGACGAUUGUUCAGUGAGCUAUAUGAUUACCGUAUAGAAAAGAUAACAUUGGCCUUCGAGAUACGGCCCUAUAUUGGGGGAAGGCAGAUUCCAAUAGUUUGAGACAAUGGAUCAGGAGCAGCUGCCAGAAGGGAAAGCACCAUCCGAUAAAUGGGAAGCAUUUAAGAGUGAAAUAAAAAUAGUUCAGUCAGCAUGAUCUUGUAAAGGCAAGAAGCAAAGAUGGUAAUCUAGGGAACCCGUGGUUAACAAAGAAUACUGACGUUUUGAUCAGGUUAAAGGACGCACACAUGGGGAAAAAAAUUGUAUCAAAUGAAUCCUUUGAGCUUUAAAGAGAUGACGAAACAACAAAUUUCAAGCAUAAUAAAUGGGUCACGAAAUGACCUUGGCAAAUAGGAUUAAAGAGAAACUUCAAACAUUUUUAAAUAUAUUGGAUGCACAAGGCUAGCUAAGUUCAAGGACCUAAGGGCCAAAAAGGAUGAUCAACGACCAAUGAUUGGCGCCAGAGUAUGCAAGUAGAAUCAUAAAAGAUUGUUUCCCUCAGGAGGAUGUGAAGGCUGGAGAGUGAAAGGGGAGAGGGGUACGCUGACAUUGUGGAGCAUAUCACUAUUAGACAGGAGGAAAAGUUAAAAAUAUUGGCCCACAUUACUGUUGAUUCAUUCCCAGUGACUGGACAGAAACCAUCCCAUGAUACCAGGGGAAAGGAGGAGAUUGCUGCAGCUACGAUGGAGAUUUUUACAUCUUCAUUUGCCAGAAUAUUGGAAGACAGCUAAAGCUGUAUAUUCAGCAAGAUGUUGCCUGGAAUGGAGAGUUGUCAUUAUGAUAGAUUGGACAGACUGGAUUUAUUCCCACUGGAACAUAGUAGACUCAGUGGUGACCUAAAAGAAGUUUAUAAAAUUACGAGGGAGAUAGAUAGGUUCAGGUAGAAAAGAGUCAAGCGAUGGUGUUGCAAGUUAGUAUAUCCUCCUAGUGAUAGGUCACCACCUGGAUGCGCACUCUUCCACCCAUUCAGACACAAAGGGGGAGCAAUGAGAGAGGGUCUCUCACAAAACUCCCAUUAAGAGAGAGGAGAACUUCCUCUAACUAGGCAUCCUUGAGGAGAUUUUGCAGUGGACCAGUAAAGUGUAGAAACAUGGUACUACAUAUGCUGGUUGACACAAAGCAUUGGAGUAACUCAGUGGGUCAGGCAGCAUCUCUGAGAUGAUCAAUGUUUUGGGUCAUGAUCUUGCAUCUAGACUGCGAUGCAGAGGGAUGAUGGGAGAACAGCCAUAAAGAGGUGAGAUGGUGGGACGAGGCAGGGGCUGGGAGGCAAAAGGGGGAAUCAUGUUCAGCCUCAGACAUAGUGCGGGAUAAGGCAAUGGAAGGAUUUAAACACAAAAUUGAGAAUAAUAGUAAUUAAACUUUGCUUCUUCAGGAGGCGGCUAAGGUCAACAAGCCCAGAGCCGAUGGGCGAACAGGACUUGCGUUAAUAAGACGUUGAUUCAUUCCCAGUGACUGGACAGGAACCAUCCCAUGAUACCAGGGGAAAGGAGGAGAUUGCUGCAGCUACGAUGGAGAUUUUUACAUCUUCAUUUGCCAGAAUAUUGGAAGACAGCUAAAGCUGUAUAUUCAGCAAGAUGUUGCCUGGAAUGGAGAGUUGUCAUUAUGAUAGAUUGGACAGACUGGAUUUAUUCCCACUGGAACAUAGGAGACUCAGUGGUGACCUAAAAGAAGUUUAUAAAAUUACGAGGGAGAUAGAUAGGUUCAGGUAGAAAAGAGUCAAGCGAUAGUGUCGCAAGUUAGUAUAUCCUCCUAUGGGAAGAGUAAGCAAAGAGUUACCACGCUCUGGUGCUACUUUUCCGUAAUGUCUCCUCCUUCCAUAUUAAAUGAAGUAUAUUUUCUUACGGUGGCAGAGCCGAAAACUAGGGGGCACUAGCUUAAGGUGAGACAGGAGAAACUUAAAGGAGAUCGGAGACACAAAGGGUUAUGGUUUUGCUGAACAAGUGUCAGCAGAAGUGGAAGAAGCAGAUACAAUUACAAUGUUUAAAAGGCCUUUGGACAAUUGAUAAGAAAAGGCCAUAGAGAAAUAAAAGGCAAGUGUAGGCAAAUGUGAUUAGUGUAGAUUAGCUUUAGACUUUAGAGAUACAACCAGGAAACAGGCCGUUCCGCCACCGAGUCCACAACGACCAGCGAUCACCCCAUACACCAGAAAUAUCUUACACACUAGGGACAAUUUACAAUUUUACCAGAGCCAAUUAACCUACAAACGUGCACGUCUUUGGCGUGUGGGAAGAAACCGGAGCAUCCGGAGAACAACCACGUUGUCAUAGGGAGAAUGCACAAACAACCUGACUGACAGAUGAAAAUGUCAGAAACCAGCUGACAUAAGACUUUCGAAAUACUGAGUAAAGAGAGGAAACGGU